CAGACUAUUGUUUUAAAAACAGCAGUACUCAGCUGAUUUCACACAAGCAGGACCAUUAUUGAGGAGUGAAAUGUGGUAGGUUCAAAUGGUAAGUGAGUUGUUAUGCAGAACAGCACGCCAGCUGGACUGGACAGUUCUCUGAGGACUUGAUCCUACACCUAUUGGAAUCAAAAAGUCUUUUUGAUUAAUUUCAUUGGGCACUUACACUUCACUGACGCCACGGCGCUCAUGUUUCAGAGCAAGCUGCAUGGUAAUCUGGGUAAGGUGGCUGAGGGCAGUGAUUAUCCAAAGCAAGGAACUGAUUGGUCAUUAGAUGGUUAUGACAUCAACAGUGCUACUGCUUCAUUUGCAUAUUCAAAGCAGUGACAUUUGGAAGUUAACCAUAACAAGCUGGGAUAAAUUAUCAUUCCCGAUUCUCUUACAGAAAGGCUGCAUGUGUACUUGGACCCACCCCUACAGGGAGAUGCAAGAGAGGGACUUAGUUUGGGACAACUUUGCCUGAUGCUUGAGAGGCGUAGGGCAUAGACCACGGGAGCCAAUAGACCACGGGAGCCAACAGUAUCUCUUGAGCAAGUCGUGGAAGUACGGAGUCAGGCGCUGCUCUGAGGGUCCGAAAACACACCUCUAUGACCCAGAAGUGGGAGGAAGGUGCCAAAAUUUGGUCACUGGAGGUGAGGAGUCAGCUGAUGUCCUGAUGACCCAGCUGUGCCCUCUGAGGCUGGAGGAAAGGUGACCAAGAACGCUCUACAUGCUGGCCCGAUGGAGCACUGCACAGCACAGGCCACUUCUGACAGUGAAGAGCCACAUGUGUCUGGAGGAGAAAAUCCCAGUGGAGCUUGUGGGACAAGGCAGGAUGUGGGUGAAAAGGAGGACAAAGUACCGUCGGCAUUGGAGAUGGCGGCAUUGAAUGAUUGUGAUAAGCUGAAGGAACUUGGCAGGGAGGUCAGCGGGAACAGACAGAAAACGAACUCCCCCCAGAGCCAAAAACUCAUUCUUGUCAAGCAGAUUGUGAAGCACAUUAAAUCGCUGCCGCUGGACUCGCUGGACUCGCACUCCAGCUCUGUGCGCCGUCAGGGGAUGCUGCUCAUUGCAGACUGCAGCAAAGUGAAGCCGCCUCUGGAGGGGAAAGAGAAGUCGGAUGUGCUCGUUGUCUGCAUUACCAGCAUCUUUGCUCUGCCCUCAAUAGAGGCCUUGCAAAGGCAGGAAGGUCAUAAAGUAAAUGUAAAGGAUUUGUACAACCAGAGUGUGGAUGCCCUGGAAGUGAUGCUGAGAGCUCUCCUGUCAGAGAAGCCAACCCCAGCAGAGCUGCAGAACCUCUUAGACCACUUGGCCUUGUGGAUGACAUCAGAGAAAGCUCACGAGCGACUGAGGGCUGUGAGCACCAGUGUCUGCCUGUUACAAGCGGCGUCCAAGCAUCCUAAAUUCUGUAUGUCAUUGGAGUUCCCCAGGCUGGGACUCCUGAUUGGACAGCUGGCCCUGUGCGUUGGUGACCCCGAGAAAGAGAUUGGCCACCAGGCUGUGGAAGGCUUGUAUUUCCUCUACGUCCUCAUGCACUGCCAAAAGCAACCUAGGAGGAAGAUGGGGCCUGUGACAGCAGUGCUACAUCCAAUGUCCAAAGAGAACUGGGAUAUCUAUGAGCCCACCAGGACUUGCCAGAACAUCUCUGAAAUUGUUAAGAGAUUUGGACAAUUUCUCAGCUCAGAGCAGAUGACAGACCUUCUACUUACAGCUCUAGAAAGCCUGAAAGAGGCCAACGAGAGCACCAUUGAAGCAUCAAAGACCAUUCUGACUGUACUCCUGGAGAAGUACAAGUGGAAGAUACAGAAGCAGGUGCCAAAGAUUGUGGACAGGAUCCACUCCCAGCUCAGAGCCAUCCAUUAUUCCCACCCCAGACAGGCAGUGAUGAUGGCCUUAUGCCGACUGGCUUGUGCUUUCAUGGAAGAAGUGUCCACGGUGCUUCUAAAAUAUCCACUCCCACUGGACAGAGAUGUGGCUGGGAUGUGGAGAAUACUGGCCAAAACAGAAGCCGCUUGUCACACCCACAGACUUCUGGACGUGCUGCUGAAGGAGCUGCAGGAGAGGCCAAGCACUUCUGGAGAUAAAGCUUCCAUCCUGCCUGUAGCCGCAGCCAGCGCUCUGUUCGAGGUAUUAUCUGUAUCCAUGUGCACACAGGCGGUGAAACGCGUCUACCCCCGCCUCCUGAUGGCCCUGCUGGUUCAGGUGCACUAUAGCACUGGGCUCAGCCUGCCCGACAGCAGUGCCUCCAGGCAGGAGCUCAUCCCUGCACGCUGUGUUGUGCAGACGGUGAAGACCCUUCUCCUAAAGAUGGGAUGCCACUACGAGUUCACCUCUGUUGAAAAGGAGGGAGGCUGGGAACUGCUCGCUAGCUCUGAGGAGCACCAUCGGGGGGUAGGCCUGCUUGCCAGGGUAUGUGUUUGCUUCCACAGAGCCAUGGUCCACUACUCUUGCUGUGAGCUGUGGCGGAUCUUGUACCUUCUGGUCCCAUUCCUGGAACGAGGCGACAAACAGCACAAGCUCACAGCAAUGGCCUUCUUCGUUGAGCUUCUUCACAUGCCACAAGCAAAGCGGCUUCCAAAGAAAUAUUCCGUGAUCCGUCUACUGAAAGGACUGACUGACCCAGAUCCAGUUAUUCGAGCACUGUGUGUCAAAGGACUGAUCACCAUGGCAGACUGGCCAGAGAUAGAGAUAAAGGACCAGGUACCAGUCAUGAUAAACAGCUUGUGUGGCGUGGACGGGAGGCUGGUUGUGGAAGCUCUUGCUGAUGUCAAGAAGAUUUUCAGAGGCCUGGAUGGAGCAAGUUAUGUUGGCUGCAUCAUCGGUACCCUUAAGCCCCUCUUUGAUGAUGAGAGAGUGAGUGUACGUUCUGCUGCUAUUUCCUUGUUUGGAAAGAUAAUUAAGAAGAUGAAGAAGAGUCAGGUGCUUAUGAAAGAAGAGGAAAUCUUGGACAGCUUGAUCCCAUUACUUCUACACCUGCAAGAGGGCAACCCUGAUGUGGCUGAGAAAUGUAAGAAUGCAUUGGAUGAAUGUUCUCGACUCCUGGAAUGGAGAUUACCUAAACAAGUGGACAACAGAAAGGGCUGGCACAACCAUCAGGAAGGCGUGGAUGAAAUCUGCCACUACUUUGUGAAAAAACAUCAGGAAAAUGUCCAAAGGUUAUUGUUCCAAAGUCAGCGCUACCUCAGCAGCACACAGCCUUCUAUACGAAGGGCCACAGCCAUGUUCAUAGCUUCUCCAUCUCCAGAUUUAGGAACUUGUCCAAAUACCUGAGGGCAUCCUUGUGUGAAAGACAAAAACUAUGAAGGUUCGGAGAGUAAUGGGAAUUCCCUGCUUUUAAUGGCAUGUUCAGGGUUCCUGGUUAUGCACAUGGACAACAUGAUAAGCAUGAAAGAUUUGGAUCUCAUAAAUAAUGCUCUCAAAGGCUUGAUACAUGACCCUGAAGCAUCUGUAUGUAUAUUUGCUGCUCAGGCACAUGAACGAGUCCUGGCAGUUU